rnacentral:rRNA from 1 species
UACGAAGGGGGCUAGCGUUGCUCGGAAUCACUGGGCGUAAAGCGCACGUAGGCGGGUCCUUAAGUCAGGGGUGAAAUCCCGGAGCUCAACUCCGGAACUGCCUUUGAUACUGGGGAUCUUGAGUCCGGAAGAGGUGAGUGGAACUCCGAGUGUAGAGGUGAAAUUCGUAGAUAUUCGGAAGAACACCAGUAGCGAAGGCGGCUCACUGGUCCGGUACUGACGCUGAGGUGCGAAAGCGUGGGGAGCAAACAGG